rnacentral:rRNA from 1 species
CUUCACUACUCGGAGACUGAAUGUUUCUUCUGCUGAUGAUGCCUUCCCGGCACUGUCCUCCUAUUUGCAAUAGGUUUUGGCAGCGCGAGGACUAGGGUAAUGAUUAAUAGGGAUAGUUGGGGGCAUUAAUAUUUAAUUGUCAGAGGUGAAAUUCUUGGAUUUAUGAAAGAUUAACUUCUGCGAAAGCAUCUGCCAAGGAUGUUUUCAUUAAUCAAGAACGAAAGUUAGGGGAUCGAAGACGAUCAGAUACCGUCGUAGUCUUAACCAUAAACGAUGCCGACCAGCGAUUAGGAGACGUUGAAUACAAAACACCACCAUCGGUUGCGGUCGUCCUUGGCGUCUCGGUUUCGGCCGGGGCGCGGGGAUGGCUUAGCCCGGUGGCACCGGUGAAUGACUCCCCUAGCAGCUUGUGAGAAAUUUUUAUUCAGAAAAAGACGGGGGGGAAGAUGGCUAUAUAACUAUUACCCCCCCUACCUANUAAUGAUGAUCCUUCCGCGGGGACACGGACAGAUUGUUAGGACCUUUAUUUCCUCUUCUAAG